AUUGAACGCUGGUGGCAGGCCUAACACAUGCAAGUCGAGCGGAUGAAGGGAGCUUGCUCCUGGAUUCAGCGGCGGACGGGUGAGUAAUGCCUAGGAAUCUGCCUGGUAGUGGGGGAUAACGUCCGGAAACGGGCGCUAAUACCGCAUACGUCCUGAGGGAGAAAGUGGGGGAUCUUCGGACCUCACGCUAUCAGAUGAGCCUAGGUCGGAUUAGCUAGUUGGUGGGGUAAAGGCCUACCAAGGCGACGAUCCGUAACUGGUCUGAGAGGAUGAUCAGUCACACUGGAACUGAGACACGGUCCAGACUCCUACGGGAGGCAGCAGUGGGGAAUAUUGGACAAUGGGCGAAAGCCUGAUCCAGCCAUGCGGCGUGUGUGAAGAAGGUCUUCGGAUUGUAAAGCACUUUAAGUUGGGAGGAAGGGCAGUAAGUUAAUACCUUGCUGUUUUGACGUUACCAACAGAAUAAGCACCGGCUAACUUCGUG
rnacentral:rRNA from 1 species